rnacentral:rRNA from 1 species
UACGUAGGGCGCAAGCGUUUAUCCGGAAUUAUUGGGCGUAAAGAGCUCGUAGGCGGUUUGUCGCGUCUGCCGUGAAAGUCCGGGGCUCAACUCCGGAUCUGCGGUGGGUACGGGCAGACUAGAGUGCGGUAGGGGAGAUUGGAAUUCCUGGUGUAGCGGUGGAAUGCGCAGAUAUCAGGAGGAACACCGAUGGCGAAGGCAGGUCUCUGGGCAUUAACUGACGCUGAGGAGCGAAAGCAUGGGGAGCGAACAGG